rnacentral:lncRNA from 1 species
UCACAUCUAAGAAGGUAGAUGUACAUGAAGUGACUUGCCCACAUAGUGAACUGUGAGUUUGGUACAUGUUAGGCAUGAGGAGGAGAAGGCAAUGACAACCCACUCCAGUACUUUGCCUGGGAAAUUCCAGGGACAGCGGAGCCUGGUGGGCUGCCCUCUAUGAGGUCACACAGAGUAGGACAUGACUGAAGUGAGUUAGCAGCAGCAUCAGUAGCAGUCAUGGGGUAGGAUCUACAGACAGUGACCAAGACAGGAGAAUGAUAAACUCCGGGAGAAAGACUUCCCGAAAACAAUACAAUUAAGGUGGAAUCUGGAAGAUGAGAAGAAAUUUGCUANNCAAAGUGGAGUGGAGUCUUCUAGGAAGGAAGACCAGCUUGUGUCAAGAGUCCACUGCUAUUCCAUCUUUAAAGAGAAAAUUGUGAGGAGAUCUACAGAGACCUGGUUCCUGGGUGACAUCUUCCUGAGGCUGUAUUUCUUAGUCUUUGAUCGCAGAAAUGACAGGACUGGCCUGGCACUGUCAGUGUAAAUGCUUGAAGUGCUUCAGGAAUCAGUAAGGCCACUCCUAACAUACACUCACUCACACUUUGGGCAAUCCUGCCCAGGAUGAUGGUGAAGUGUAUUUGGUGUUCUAUACACCCUAUUCUCAGUAAAAAAUAAGUGUUUCACUCUUAAUGGUGCUGAAACAAAUGGGUGACUCUGUUUGUGUCAGGGAGUGAAGUUUGUGUCUAGAACCAAGUCUGAAUCAAAAUUGAGACGAUCCCUACUACAACUGGCUUCAAGGAACAGAGAGACUCAUUGAAAUGAUUCUGGGAAUCCAGGAUACAAGAUUCAGAACAAAUAUGAAGAUCUCAGUGACUGGAACCAAGAAAUCAUAAGUCAUCAAUUCUCUCUCACCCUUGCUAUUUCCCUUCGGUCUGCUUUGAUGGUCUUAGGCUGGCAACUAUUUUCCUUAAGGCUUCUACACCUGGUGAGGGAGUUCAAGCUACCUGCCCUAGGGAUUUAAAUCCUGAAGGCAUCUCCUAGUAAGGAAAAAUGAUUGCAGACAUCAGAGUUCAAGGGUGUUCUCUGAAUCACCCACCUCAAUUCACAUGUACAGCACUAGA